rnacentral:rRNA from 1 species
UUGGGAAUCUUGGACAAUGGGGGAAACCCUGAUCCAGCCAUGCCGCGUGAGUGAUGAAGGCCUUCGGGUUGUAAACUCUUUCGCGCACGACGAUAAUGACGGUAGUGCGAGAAGAAGCUCCGGCUAACUUCGUGCCAGCAGCCGCGGUAAUACGAAGGGGGCUAGCGUUGUUCGGAAUUACUGGGCGUAAAGCGCGCGCAGGCGGCUAUCCAAGUCAGUGGUGAAAGCCCGGAGCUCAACUCCGGAACUGCCAUUGAAACUGUUUAGCUUGAGUAUGAGAGAGGUGAGUGGAAUUCCCAGUGUAGAGGUGAAAUUCGUAGAUAUUGGGAAGAACACCGGUGGCGAAGGCGGCUCACUGGCUCAUUACUGACGCUCAGGCGCGACAGCGUGGGGAUCAAACAGGAUUAGAUACCCUGGUAGUCCACGCCGUAAACGAUGAAUGCUAGCCGUUGGGCAGCUUGCUGUUCAGUGGCGCAGCUAACGCAUUAA